rnacentral:rRNA from 1 species
AUUGAACGAUGGCGGCAGGCCUAACACAUGCAAGUCGAACGAGUGGCGGACGGGUGAGUAAUUUCUGGGAAACUGCCCGAUGGAGGGGGAUACCUACUGGAAACGGUAGCUAAUACCGCAUACCAUCGGAUGUGCCCAUAUGGGAUUAGCUAGUAGGUGGGGUAACGGCUCACCUAGUCGACGAUCCCUAGCUGGUCUGAGAGGAUGACCAGCAACACUGGAACUGAGACACGGUCCAGACUCCUACGGGAGGCAGCAGUGGGGAAGAUUGCACAAUGGUCGCAAUCCUGAGUCAGCCAUGCCGCGUGUAUGAAGAAGGCCUUCGGGUUGUAAAGUACUUUCAGCGGGGAGGCGUUACCCGCAGAAGAAGCACCGGCUAACUCCGUGCCAGCCGCCGCGGUAAUUC